UACGUAGGGUGCAAGCGUUAAUCGGAAUUACUGGGCGUAAAGCGUGCGCAGGCGGUUGUGCAAGACAGAUGUGAAAUCCCCGGGCUUAACCUGGGAAUGGCAUUUGUGACUGCACGGCUAGAGUGUGUCAGAGGGGGGGUAGAAUUCCACGUGUAGCAGUGAAAUGCGUAGAUAUGUGGAGGAAUACCGAUGGCGAAGGCAGCCCCCCUGGGAUAACACUGACGCUCAUGCACGAAAGCGUGGGGAGCAAACAGG
rnacentral:rRNA from 1 species